rnacentral:rRNA from 2 species
GGCUAAUACAUGCAAGUCGAACGCACUGACGUCGACCGAAGCUGCUUGCAGUGGACGUUGAUUGACGUGAGUGGCGGACGGGUGAGUAACACGUGGGUAACCUACCCUUAAGUGGGGGAUAACAUUUGGAAACAGAUGCUAAUACCGCAUAACCAUUCAGACCACAUGGUCUGAAUGUAAAAGACGGCCUUUGGCUGUCACUUUUGGACGGACCCGCGGCGUAUUAGUUAGUUGGUAAGGUAACGGCUUACCAAGACAAUGAUACGUAGCCGACCUGAGAGGGUAAUCGGCCACAUUGGGACUGAGACACGGCCCAAACUCCUACGGGAGGCAGCAGUAGGGAAUCUUCCACAAUGGACGAAAGUCUGAUGGAGCAACGCCGCGUGAGUGAAGAAGGUUUUAGGAUCGUAAAACUCUGUUGUUGGAGAAGAACAGGGACUAGAGUAACUGUUAGUCCUUUGACGGUAUCCAACCAGAAAGCCACGGCUAACUACGUGCCAGCAGCCGCGGUAAUACGUAGGUGGCAAGCGUUGUCCGGAUUUAUUGGGCGUAAAGCGAGCGCAGGCGGUUUUUUAAGUCUGAUGUGAAAGCCUUCGGCUUAACCGAAGAAGUGCAUUAGAAACUGGGAAACUUGAGUGCAGAAGAGGACAGUGGAACUCCAUGUGUAGCGGUGAAAUGCGUAGAUAUAUGGAAGAACACCAGUGGCGAAGGCGGCUGUCUGGUCUGUAACUGACGCUGAGGCUCGAAAGUAUGGGGAGCGAACAGGAUUAGAUACCCUGGUAGUCCAUACCGUAAACGAUG